CGCCCUACAAUGCAAGUCGAACGGGGUGGGGCAAAACACUGUGUGUUUUGCGGAAUGUAGAAUGUAAAAUGUAAAAUGUAGAAUGAAGAACGGGAAGAGGCCGCAAUUCUACAUUCUAAAUUCUCAAUUCUAAAUUUCAGAGAGAACACNGAGUGUUUUGCUUCNCCUAGUGGCGGACGGGUGAGUAACACGUGAGCAACCUGCCGAAGAGUGGGGGAUAACGUCUGGAAACGGACGCUAAUACCGCAUAACAUAAAGGGAUGGCAUCAUCUCUUUAUCAAAGGAGCAAUCCGCUUUUUGAUGGGCUCGCGGCCGAUUAGGUAGUUGGAGUGGUAAAGGCACACCAAGCCGACGAUCGGUAGCCGGACUGAGAGGUUGAACGGCCACAUUGGGAUUGAGACACGGCCCAGACUCCUACGGGAGGCAGCAGUGGGGGAUAUUGCACAAUGGGGGAAACCCUGAUGCAGCGACGCCGCGUGAGUGAAGACGGUCUUCGGAUUGUAAAGCUCUGUUGCAGAGGACGAACACAAUGACGGUACUCUGUGAGGAAGCCACGGCUAACUACGUGCCAGCAGCCGCGGUAAUACGUAGGUGGCAAGCGUUGUCCGGAAUUACUGGGUGUAAAGGGAGCGUAGGCGGGCAAUCAAGUUGGGUGUGAAAUACCGCGGCUCAACCGCGGGGCUGCAUCCAAAACUGAAUGUCUUGAGUGAUGUAGAGGCAGGCGGAAUUCCUAGUGUAGCGGUGAAAUGCGUAGAUAUUAGGAGGAGCACCCNGUGGCGAAGGCGGCCCUGCUGGGCCAUUAACUGACCCCUGAGGCUCNAAAGCGUGGGGAGCCAACAGGGAUUAGAUACCCCUGGUAGUCCCCCCCCNUAAACCCAUGAUUACUAGGUGUGGGGGGGGACUGAACCCCCUUCCNUGGCCCGGA
rnacentral:rRNA from 1 species